rnacentral:rRNA from 1 species
AACAGGAUUAGAUACCCUGGUAGCCCUCGCCGUAAACGAUGAGUGCUAAGUGUUAGAGGGUUUCCGCCCUUUAGUGCUGCAGCUAACGCAUUAAGCACUCCGCCUGGGGAGUACGGUCGCAAGACUGAAACUCAAAGGAAUUGACGGGGGCCCGCACAAGCGGUGGAGCAUGUGGUUUAAUUCGAAGCAACGCGAAGAACCUUACCAGGUCUUGACAUCCUCUGACAACUCUAGAGAUAGAGCGUUCCCCUUCGGGGGACAGAGUGACAGGUGGUGCAUGGUUGUCGUCAGCUCGUGUCGUGAGAUGUUGGGUUAAGUCCCGCAACGAGCGCAACCCUUGAUCUUAGUUGCCAGCAUUCAGUUGGGCACUCUAAGGUGACUGCCGGUGACAAACCGGAGGAAGGUGGGGAUGACGUCAAAUCAUCAUGCCCCUUAUGACCUGGGCUACACACGUGCUACAAUGGAUGGUACAAAGGGCUGCAAGACCGCGAGGUCAAGCCAAUCCCAUAAAACCAUUCUCAGUUCGGAUUGUAGGCUGCAACUCCCCUACAUGAAGCUGGAAUCGCUAGUAAUCGCGGAUUAACAUGCCGCGGUGAAUAC